rnacentral:tRNA from 1 species
UGAGGGUUCGUCUAACGGUAGGACGCCUGGGUCUGGUCCAGGUAAUCUAGGUUCGAGUCCUAGCCCCUCAUCCA